rnacentral:rRNA from 1 species
GCGUGGGUGAAGAAGGUCUUCGGAUUGUAAAGCCCUUUCGACGGGGACGAUGAUGACGGUACCCGUAGAAGAAGCCCCGGCUAACUUCGUGCCAGCAGCCGCGGUAAUACGAAGGGGGCUAGCGUUGCUCGGAUUGACUGGGCGUAAAGGGCGCGUAGGCGGAUAGUACAGUCAGGCGUGAAAUUCCUGGGCUCAACCUGGGGGCUGCGUUUGAUACGUAUUGUCUGGAGUUCGGAAGAGGGUCGUGGAAUUCCCAGUGUAGAGGUGAAAUUCGU